GACGAACGCUGGCGGCGUGCUUAACGCAUGCAAGUCGAACGGAAAGGCCCUGCUUUUGUGGGGUGCUCGAGUGGCGAACGGGUGAGUAACACGUGAGUAAACUGCCCUUGACUUUGGGAUAACUUCAGGAAACUGGGGCUAAUACCGGAUAGGAGCUCCUGCUGCAUGGUGGGGGUUGGAAAGUUUCGGCGGUUGGGGCUGGACUCGCGGCUUAUCCGCUUGUUGGUGGGGUAGUGGCUUACCAAGGCUUUGACGGGUAGCCGGCCUGGGAGGGUGACCGGCGACAUGGGGACUGAGAGACGGCGCAGACUCCAACGGGAGGCAGCAGUGGGGAAUAUGGCACAAUGGGCGGAAGCCUGUGGCAGCAACGCCGCGUGCGGGAUAACGGCCUUCGGGUGGUAAACCGCUUUGGCCGGUGACGAAGCGUUAGUGACGGUAAUGGGUAAAGAAGCACCGGCUAACUACGUG
rnacentral:rRNA from 1 species